rnacentral:rRNA from 1 species
UCGAGGAUCUUUGUCAAUGGGCGCAAGCCUGAACAAGCGACGCCGCGUGAGCGAUGAAGGCCUUCGGGUCGUAAAGCUCUUUCAGCAGGGAAGAAUCAAUUGACGGUACCUGCAGAAGAAGCCCCGGCUAAUUACGUGCCAGCAGCCGCGAUAAUACGUAAGGGGCAAGCGUUGUUCGGAUUUACUGGGCGUAAAGGGUGCCUAGGCGGCAUAUUAAGUCGGAAGUGAAAUCCCCCGGUCCAACUGGGGAACUGCUUUCGAAACUGAUGUGCUUGAGUACGGGAGAGGAGAGCGGAAUUCUCGGUGUAGCGGUGGAAUGCGUAGAUAUCGAGAAGAACACUAGUGGCGAAGGCGGCUCUCUGGAACGAUACUGACGCUGAAGCACGAAAGCCAGGGGAGCAAACGG